AUACGGAGGAUCCGAGCGUUAUCCGGAUUUAUUGGGUUUAAAGGGUGCGCAGGCGGCCAUUUAAGUCAGCGGUUAAAUCGUGGGGCUCAACCCCAUUCUGCCGUUGAUACUGGGUGGCUUGAUUGCGGUCGAGGUUGGCGGAAUUCGUUGUGUAGCGGUGAAAUGCAUAGAUAUGACGAAGAACACCGAUUGCGUAGGCAGCUGGCCAGACCGCAAAUGACGCUCAUGCACGAAAGUGCGGGGAGCGAACAGGAUUAGAUACCCUGGUAGUCCGCACAGUAAACGAUGAAGACUUGUUUUCGGCGAUAUAAUGACGGAGGCAAAGCGAAAGCGAUAAGUAUUCCACCUGGGGAGUACGCCGGCAACGGUGAAACUCAAAGGAAUUGACGGGG
rnacentral:rRNA from 1 species